rnacentral:rRNA from 1 species
GACGAACGCUGGCGGCGUGCUUAACACAUGCAAGUCGAACGGAAAGGCCCUGCUUUUGUGGGGUGCUCGAGUGGCGAACGGGUGAGUAACACGUGAGUAACCUGCCCUUGACUUUGGGAUAACUUCAGGAAACUGGGGCUAAUACCGGAUAGGAGCUCCUGCUGCAUGGUGGGGGUUGGAAAGUUUCGGCGGUUGGGGAUGGACUCGCGGCUUAUCAGCUUGUUGGUGGGGUAGUGGCUUACCAAGGCUUUGACGGGUAGCCGGCCUGAGAGGGUGACCGGGCACAUGGGGACUGAGAGACGGCCCAGACUCCUACGGGAGGCAGCAGUGGGGAAUAUUGCACAAUGGGCGGAAGCCUGAUGCAGCAACGCCGCGUGCGGGAUGACGGCCUUCGGGUUGUAAACCGCUUUCGCCUGUGACGAAGCGUGAGUGACGGUAAUGGGUAAAGAAGCACCGGCUAACUACGUG